rnacentral:rRNA from 1 species
UACGUAGGGGGCUAGCGUUGUCCGGAAUCAUUGGGCGUAAAGCGCGCGUAGGCGGUUCGGCAAGUCCGCUGUGAAAGUCGGGGGCUCAACCCUCGGAUGCCGGUGGAUACUGUCGAGCUUGAGUACGGAAGGGGCGAGUGGAAUUCCUGGUGUAGCGGUGAAAUGCGCAGAUAUCAGGAGGAACACCAGUUGCGAAGGCAGCUCGCUGGGACGUUACUGACGCUGAGGCGCGAAAGCGUGGGGAGCAAACAGG